GAAAUGCGAUAAGUAAUGUGAAUUGCAGAAUUCAGUGAAUCAUCGAAUCUUUGAACGCACCUUGCGCUCCUUGGUAUUCCUUGGAGCAUGCCUGUUUGAGUAUCAUGAAAUCUUCAAAGUAAAUCUUUUGUUAACUCAAUUGGUUUCUACUUUGGUAUUGGAGGUCUUUGCAGCUUCACACCUGCUCCUCUUUGUUCAUUAGCUGGAUCUCAGUGUUAUGCUUGGUUCCACUCGGCGUGAUAAGUUAUCUAUCGCUGAGGACACUGUAAAAGGUGGCCAAGGUGAAUGAAGAUGAACCGCUUCUAAUAGUCCAUUGACUGGACAAUACUUUUAUGAUCUGAUCUCAAAUCAGGUAGGACUACCCGCUGAACUUAAGC
rnacentral:misc_RNA from 1 species